CUUUGAUCUAUGUUGUAGUAGUUGAAACGAGGUUUCCGAAUAUAUAUAGAACGCCCAAAUCUGACUUCGUAUGAGGAAGUUAUGAUUUAUCGAAGUUCCGGCUUAGCGGUGUGCAGCCCGAAAUACUCGAUUUGAGAUCGAGCAGUUUUUAGCCGAAGCAAUCUAAAUGAGAAUCGAAGAUCUCGUUGUUGGUAUCGAAGCGAUAAAAAGUUAGGCGAGAGCGGACGUCAAACGAAGAAGUUAUGAAUUUAUAACGAAAGUUUCUGUCGCGGCCUAUUAAAAAUAAUUAAUAAAAAUAAAGUCAAAAUUAGCCGACGGAGUCUAAACGAAAGUCGUAGAGCGUGGUCUCACCUUUCCGUGGAUAUAAAGAACGUCGAAAACGGAGUUCGUAUGAAGAAGUUAUGAAUUUCCGAAGUUUAUUAAUCAUUUUGUAUUUAAAUAUAAAUCAAAAUUCGGAAGCAUUAUCCGAAGGAGUCACCGAUCUGAUCCGAGGUACGCCCCGCGUACUCGAGUACGCCCUGCGUACUCCGAGGGAUGUCGACACUCGCACUCGAGCACUUCGGAUACGUAAGCAAUGACGUUUUGGGCAGUACGCCCCGCGUAACGCAGUACGCCCCGCGUACUCCGAGGCUCCAGCCUCCUAUAAAUAGGAUGCGAGGGUUCCGGGUAUUUUUGCCAAUUCCCUCUCAUUUUCGUGUCGAAGCUCUGCAUUUUUACCCCCGAAGCUACCCCGAAGCCCCGGUAUCAUACUCUAGCCCCGAGGCAAGUCCCGAGAUCCCGAAGAUCCCGAGAAGCGCGGUUCCCGAGUCGAAGCUCUGCCCGCGAGAAGUUCGAUUUUCGAGGAGAUCUUCCAGAUCUGCUGUGGAUUACUACUUCUAUAAGCCGUAGUGCUGUCGGAUCGUCUUCUGAUCAAGUGAGUGUGUAGUUAUUUCUUCUAAUACAAUAAUACGAAGUAUUUUAUAUAAAAAUACGUGCUAUGUGUAUAUAUUUGGUUGUGUUAUGUGUGAAUGAGUAUUCACUCUCUUCUAUCUUAUAGAUCUGCUUAUUUCUUUAUGAGAUAUGUGUUAUGUGUGUGUGUGCCUCAUCUGUUAUGUGAUAUAUGUGUUGAUUAAAGCAUGCUAUACAGGUUUUCUUUAAACUAUGUAUACAAAUGUAUAUUUUUAUCUACUAAUAUGUUGGGUAGAACAUGGGUAGACAGUUGGUGUGUAAUAAACAGAUGAGAGGCCUCGUUGUUGUUUGAUUGAGUCAUCUAGCGGAGUUUAGAUGACGACCACUGGCUAUUCUAGACAGUCUUGUGGAAACAUUAGCAGGUUCGCCACCUGUAGGUGUUAAUGAACUUGGGUGUUCAUUCGCUGUACUCCAUCCCCCUCAUGGUUGCCUUAUUUGACUUAUAUUGCUGAGGUACCCCCGAAGCAUGUGUUGUCGCCCCGAUGAAAUAUUCUUAGACUAGGUCCCUUAUGUUAGUUGUUUUAGGGACAUUAAAGUGAGAAUAACGGGAAUGGGUAAUUGGGUUAUUGUUGGUUGGUGAAAAUUAAAUAUGAUAUUUAUUGUGGGUUGAAAACCCUAUAUGCUCACCAGGCUCCCAAGCCUGACCCACUCAGUUUUAAAUUGUAUUACAGGUAGUGGCGGAAGGGCAUGAGAUGGAUGAACCAUCAAGUUGUUUUGUUUACAAGUCUGCAUAUGUUUAUAUUUGUUAUAUGACUUGUAAUGUAUUCGUUUAUGCUUAUUGGUCUGUAUCGGAACAUGACACCCCGAGUUUUGAUUAUAAUGAAAAUACAUUUCUUUUAUGAAAUGCUUCGGUAAACAAUGUUUUAUCAUGUUUUGUUUUUGGGAACAAAUUCCGCAACUCUUUCAAAUCAAAAGGAUUUACUCUGAAAAUAUUUAAAAGCAUAAAUGAAAAUCGGUCUUUUCUGGCCGAGAUUUUGGGGAUGUCACAGUUGGUAUCAGAGCAUUAGUUUAAGCGAACUAGGAAUUUGUAGGAUUUCUAGACUUAAACUUAGAAUGCUAAGUGAAGUUUUGAGAUGUGUGUCUGUUGUGAUUUAGACACGAGCACUAGUUUAUUUUAGGAAAGUUGCCUAAAAUGCUUUAUGUGCUAAAUGUUAUAUGUUGCCAUAUAUGAUAUUAUUUGUUCGGAUCUAUGGUCUGUUGCCGACCGGAUCUAGAAACCUUAUGUGUGUAGGAUUCUAAGCGUACGUCUACGAUAUUAGAACUAGCAUGUAAACGUUUCGGAGUGAUAAGGAUGAUUUGAAUAUCUAUCAUGAUUGAGGAUCUAAUUUCACCUUAUUCGGUGUAGAUCAAAAUGGUGAGAACAAGAAGUGGAGUUGGAAAUGCUGACGAAAACAGGAAUCAACCACCAGUGAUUGAGCCAAUACCUGUCGUAGCAGCAGCACCUGAGCCAAUAACCAUGGCUGGUGUGCAAUUGAUGAUUCAGACGAUGUUGGAUCGUCAGAUGGAUGAAACUAGACGGUUGCUUCAACAAAAUCGUGAAGAACUGUCGAUUCGUGUGGAAGAGCCUGAACUGAAUGAAGGGCACUCGGAAGGUGGAAACUUCAGUGGGUCUGUUGGUCCAGCCAACCCACCGAUAGUUAGGCAAGAUAACCAUGAUGGAAGGAAUGAUGGAAUGGGAUGCAAGUACAAGGACUUUUUGACUUGUAAACCAUCGACCUUCAAUGGAAAGGAGGAUCCGAUUGGGGUUAUGGAUUGGAUCUCCGAAAUGGAGUUAGCCUUUAUGACAUGUGGCUGUAGAGGCAAGUUGCAGACUAUCUAUGCCGUGCGACAAUUCCGAGGUGGAGCCGUUCGUUGGUGGAACACUCUAGGGAAGACCUUAAGCCCUAAUGAGCCACUGCAAUUGUCAUGGGCAGAGUUCUUGGUGCAGUUCAAGCGCAAGUUCUGCUCGGCUCAAAAUCUGUUGGAGUUGGAGAAUAAGUUUUUGACAUUGACGAAGGGUAGCAUGUCAGUUGAUGAAUACACCAAUAACUUCACCGAUAAGAUGGAGUUUGCCUUGCGUAUCGUUCCAGACGAGCUGACAAAGGUGGAUCGGUAUGCGAAGGGACUUCCAUGGGAGUACGAGGUGCCGGUACGUCAGGCACUUACUCUAGAGGCAGCUAUCUGGGCUGCCAAGUCUGUGGAGAACAUGAUCAAGGGGAGAACCACCGUCAAGGUUGAGGUUGGUGAGAAAAGGAAGUUUGAAGGAACAUCUGGUUCCAGUAAGAAGAGCAAAUUUUCGAAAUCUGAUUCGAAAAAGUUUGGAGGAAAAGGAGGCGAAGCAAAGUGGUGUGAUAAGUGUAAGAAAAAGCACUUUGGGAAAUGUAGCGAGGAUGUGACCUGCUACAAGUGUGGAAAGGUUGGACAUUUUGCCAAUGAAUGUCCGAACAACAAAAGGAUGUGUUUUGGUUGUAAUGAAGAGGGGCAUAUUUUGAAAGACUGUCCGAAGAAGAAGGAGGCAGCUAGGCCCAACAUUCCACCAAAGCCGAAGGCGAGAGCCUUCCAGAUGACACUUGAGGCUGCGAAAGAUGAAGCUGAUGUCGCUUCAGGUACCUUUCUCGUAAACGAAUUACCUGCUCAUAUAUUGUUUGAUUCUGGAGCCAACUACUCCUUUAUUUCGCAUGAGUUUGGUAGAAAGCUAGCUUUGCCUGUUGAUAGACUAAAUAAUGCUUUAUUAGUCGAAGUAGCUAGUGGCAAGUUUGUACCUGUUAGCCAUCGUAUGAAAAACGUCUUGAUCGACCUUAAUGGGAAUAAGUUUCUCGAGGAAUUAUUGCCUAUCGAACUAAAUGGUUUCGACAUCGUCUUGGGAAUGGAUUGGCUUAGCGCCAAUGAUGCCGAAAUUUUGUGCAAGAAGAAGAUAGUUAAAGUAAACCCGCCUGGAAAAGAUUCGUUUAUGGUGUAUGGGGACAAACGCAGAGUGAAUUCUGGAAUCAUUUCUCUAAUGAAAGCCAGAAAGUGUUUGACCAAGGGAUGUACAUCAUAUUUAGCAUUCGUGAUUGAUGCUAAGAAAGAAAAGAAGGUGAUGCAGAGCAUUCCAGUGGUGUGUGAUUAUCCGGAAGUAUUUCCCGAGGAUCUUCCUGGAUUACCACCUGAUAGACAAGUGGAGUUCAGAAUAGACUUGUUACCAGGAACCACGCCAAUAGCAAAAGCACCUUAUCGAUUAGCACCGACGGAGAUGAAGGAGCUAAUGAUGCAACUUCAGGAGUUAUUGGACAAAGGUUUCAUUAGACCUAGUUCAUCGCCCUGGGGAGCUCCGGUGUUAUUUGUAAAGAAGAAAGAUGGAAGUAUGAGAAUGUGCAUCGAUUACAGAGAGCUGAACAAGGCAACAAUAAAGAAUAGAUAUCCGUUGCCGAGGAUUGAUGACCUGUUUGAUCAAUUGCAAGGUUCGAGCUAUUUCUCGAAGAUCGAUCUUAGGUCAGGAUAUCAUCAGCUGAAAGUAAGAGAGCAAGAUAUCGAGAAGACUGCAUUCAGAACUAGAUAUGGACACUACGAGUUCUUGGUUAUGUCGUUUGGACUAACCAAUGCUCCAGCAGCGUUCAUGGAUUUGAUGAAUAGGGUUUGUAAUCCUUUCCUUGAUAAAUCCGUGAUAGUGUUCAUAGACGACAUUCUGAUCUACUCGAAAAGCCAGGAGGAGCAUGGCAGACACUUGCGAGAAGUGUUAGAAGUUUUGAAGAAGGAGAAGCUUUAUGCGAAGUUCUCCAAAUGUGAUUUUUGGAUUCGUGAAGUCCAAUUCUUGGGUCACGUGGUCAACCAAGAAGGGAUAAUGGUUGAUCCAGCGAAGAUCGAAGCUGUGACGAAGUGGGAACAACCGAAAAGUCCCACGGAGAUUCGAAGCUUUUUAGGAUUAGCCGGAUAUUACCGAAGGUUUAUCCAAGGCUUUUCUUCGAUUGCUACUCCAUUAACAGCUUUGACCCACAAAGGAGCUACUUAUGCUUGGAGUGAGAAGCAUAAAGAAGCAUUCGAGAAGUUAAAGAAGAAGCUAUGCGAGGCACCGAUACUUUCUCUACCCGAUGGAGUUGAAGACUUCGCUGUUUAUAGCGAUGCGUCUGGUGUUGGAUUGGGUUGUGUUUUGACCCAAAGAGAAAAGGUGAUAGCAUAUGCGUCUCGACAGCUGAAAGAGCAUGAAAAGAAUUACCCGACUCAUGAUUUGGAGUUGGCAGCGGUAGUUUUCGCUCUGAAAAUAUGGAGGCAUUACCUCUAUGGCACGAAGUGCAAACUUUUCACUGAUCAUAAGAGUCUCCAAUACCUCUUUAAUCAGAAAGAAUUGAAUAUGAGGCAACGACGCUGGCUAGAAUUACUUAAAGACUACGACUGCGAGAUACUUUACCACCCCGGUAAAGCUAAUGUUGUUGCUGAUGCUCUCAGUCGGAAGGUCAAUCUUGAAAGGAAGAGGCCAAGAGCGUUGAGAAUUGAAGUUGUCUCGACCAUUGUGGAAAGUAUAAAGAAAGCUCAAGAGGAAGCUUCUGAGAAAAAUGACCGAAAGGAGGAACGUUUGGGUAAAACGUUGGUGUUUGGUACUAACGGUCAUGGACUGAAGGUAUUCCAAGAUCGUAUUUGGGUACCUAAGUCAGGAGGAAUUAGAGAUCUUCUGAUGGAAGAAGCUCACAAGACCAUGUACUCGAUUCAUCCGGGUAGCACUAAAAUGUAUAGGGACCUGAAACCCUACUACUGGUGGCCGACGAUGAAGCUUGAUGUUGCAAAGUAUGUGGCCGAGUGUGUGACUUGUGCGAGAGUCAAGACACAACAUCAGAAACCGUACGGGAGUUUAGAACCUUUGCCUGUGCCUAUGGGUAAGUGGGAAGACAUUGCUAUGGAUUUUGUCACUAAACUGCCCAGAACAAAGAAUGGUCACGACAUGAUUUGGGUGGUCGUUGAUCGAUUCACUAAGAGUGCGCAUUUCAUAGCGGCCAGGGAGAAAUGGUCUAUGGAAAAGCUUGCGAAUUCUUACGUGAAGGAAAUUGUGAGGCUUCACGGUGUUCCGUUAACGAUUGUAUCGGAUCGUGAUAGCCGUUUCACCUCAAGGUUUUGGAAAAGUCUACAAGAGGAAAUGGGUACCAAGUUAUGUUUAAGCACAGCUUACCAUCCGCAGACUGAUGGUCAGAGUGAAAGAACAAUACAAACACUUGAAGAUAUGCUGAGAGCAUGUACCUUGGAAUUCCUAGGUAAUUGGGAUGAACAUUUACCGUUGGUAGAAUUUUCCUAUAAUAAUAGUUUUCACUCGAGCAUUAAGAUGGCACCUUAUCAAGCUUUGUAUGGACAGAAGUGUCGUACGCCGUCUUGUUGGCUUGAGGCUGGGGAAAAGCAGUUUAUGGGACCGGAGAUGGUUCAUCAAACUGCUGAAAAGUUGAAAAUAAUUAGGGAAAGAAUGUUAGCAGCUCAAGAUCGUCAAAAGAGCUAUGCUGACAAGAAGCGAAGACCGAUGACUUUUGAGGUUGGAGAUUCGGUUUUGCUUAAAGUCUCGCCGUGGAAGGGACUUAUAAGAUUUGGUAAAAGGGGAAAGUUGAGUCCAAGGUUUAUUGGACCGUUUAAAGUUCUUCAGAGGAUUGGGAACCAAGCUUACAAGCUCGAAUUACCCGAAGAACUGAAUGGAAUUCACAACACUUUUCAUGUGUGUUAUUUGAGGAAGUUCACGGGAGAAGUUCCCGAUAUAAUUCCAAUUUCUGAAUUGAGAAUUGAUGAGAACAAAAGGUUGAUUGAAGAACCAGAGGCAAUUGUUGACCGAAAGACUAAGAAGUUGCGACGCAAAAUGGUUGGGUUAGUGCUUGUCCGAUGGAAACACACGAAUGGGCCGAAUCUCACCUGGGAGACGGAGAGUGACAUGUUGAGUCGCUAUCCGCAUUUGUUUGUUGAUGUGUGAUUCCGGGGACGGAAUCAUUCUAAGGUGGAGAGAAUUGUAACGCCUGUGUUUCCGGGCUUGCCAUUUUUAGCAAUAUAAUAGUCUAGGUUAACCUUUGUAACCCGUUUUGAAAUAAUAAGAUUGUAUUAUUUGAGUAUUAUGUGUUUUGUGCUUAAUUGCUUAAUUAUGUGGUUUGAUUAAUUAAGAAUAAAAAUAAGCGUCAAAAUUUAAGUGUAAAAUAAACUUAAUAUCUUUGGUUAAUGUUGUAGUAGUUGAAACGAGGUUUCCGAAUAUAUAUAGAACGCCCAAAUCUGACUUCGUAUGAGGAAGUUAUGAUUUAUCGAAGUUCCGGCUUAGCGGUAUACAGCCUGUUAUACUCGAUUUGAGAUCGAGCGGUUGUUAGCCGAAGCAAUCUAAAUGAGAAUCGAAGAUCUCAUUGUUGGUAUCGAAGCGAUAAAAAGUUAGGCGAGAACGGACGUCAAACGAAGAAGUUAUGAAUUUAUAACGAAAGUUUCUGUCCCGGCCUAUUAAAAAUAAUUAAUAAAAAUAAAGUCAAAAUUAGCCGACGGAGUCUAAACGAAAGUCGUAGAGCAUGGUCUCACCUUCCCGUGGAUAUAAAGAACGUCGAAAACGGAGUUCGUAUGAAGAAGUUAUGAAUUUCCGAAGUUUAUUAAUCAUUUUGUAUUUUUAUUUAAUUCAAAAUCGGAGGCAUUAUCCGAAGCCGUGUCACCGGUGUAAUCCGGAGUACGCCCCGCGUACGAGGUUACGCUAUCGCGUAACUCCGAUAGUGUCGACACUUCGGAUGACGCAUGCAAUGACGAUUUCGGACGCGUACGCGCUGCGUACGCCUGUACGCCCCGCGUACUCCGAGGUUCCAGCCUCUAUAUAAAGGAUCCGAAGGCAGCCUCAUUUCUUGUUCAUUUUCUUCUCUUCUCUCUAGUCUUUUGCAUCGUUUUUCGU
rnacentral:lncRNA from 1 species